CCUACUGUGGUGUAGUAGUUUGAGCACCUGACUACAACUCAGGAGACCAGGGUUCGAAUCCCCACUCAGCUGUG